CAGUAGCCGCGGUAAUACAGAGGGUGCAAGCGUUAAUCGGAAUUACUGGGCGUAAAGCGCGCGUAGGUGGUUUGUUAAGUUGGAUGUGAAAGCCCCGGGCUCAACCUGGGAACUGCAUCCAAAACUGGCAAGCUAGAGUACGGUAGAGGGUGGUGGAAUUUCCUGUGUAGCGGUGAAAUGCGUAGAUAUAGGAAGGAACACCAGUGGCGAAGGCGACCACCUGGACUGAUACUGACACUGAGGUGCGAAAGCGUGGGGAGCAAACAGGAUUAGAUACCCCGGUAGUCCCUGUCUCUUAUAC
rnacentral:rRNA from 1 species